GUCUAGCUCAGUUGGUUAGAGCAUGGUGCUGAUAACACCAAGGUUGCAAGUUCAAUCCCCUUAUGGGCUAGCU